UCAUAUGCUUGUCUCAAAGAUUAAGCCAUGCAAGUCUAAGUACGCGCUCUCGUACAGUGAAACUGCGAAUGGCUCAUUAAAUCAGUUAUGGUUCAUUUGAUCGUACAUCGUACGUGGAUACCUGUACAAAAUCUAGAGCUAAUACAUGCGGCAGGCGCCUGCCUCACGGCGGGCGUGCAUUUAUCAGUCCAAAAACCGACCGGGCCGGCGUUUCGUCGCGCCCGACACGUCUUGGCGACUCUGGGUAACUCAGCGGAUCGCACGGUCUCGCACCGGCGACGGAUCAUUCAAGUGUCUGCCCUAUCAACUUUCGUCGGUAGGGUAUCGGCCUACCGAGGUUCUUACGGGUGACGGGGAAUCAGGGUUCGAUUCCGGAGAGGGAGCCUGAGAAACGGCUACCACAUCCAAGGAAGGCAGCAGGCGCGCAAAUUACCCAUUCCCGACGCGGGGAGGUAGUGACGAAAAAUAACAAUACAGGACUCUAAACGAGGCCCUGUAAUUGGAAUGAGCACAC
rnacentral:rRNA from 1 species